rnacentral:ncRNA from 1 species
UAAAGCAUGAACCGGUGUUCAAUUGACUCUUUCGAGAGUCACUUGUUCUGAGAGACACGGUCGAACUUGAUCAGGAUAAUACCUGCGCAAAGAAUCAUGCUUUAUCAACAU